UCCGGUUUGUCACCGGCAGUCUCCUUAGAGUUCCCACCAUUACGUGCUCUCACCAGGCUUCCGGACAUGUCAAGGGUAGGUAAGGUUGUUCGCGUUGCAUCGAAUUAAUCCACAUCAUCCACCGCUUGUGCGGGUCCCCGUCAAUUCCUUUGAGUUUUAACCUUGCGGCCGUACUCCCCAGGCGGUCAACUUCACGCGUUAGCUACGGUACCAAGGAAUCGCUUCCCCAACACCCAGUUGACAUCGUUUAGGGCGUGGACUAC
rnacentral:misc_RNA from 1 species